UACAGAGGUCUCAAGCGUUGUUCGGAUUCAUUGGGCGUAAAGGGUGCGCAGGCGGCGUGGAAAGUUGAGUGUGAAAUCCUGGGGCUCAACCUCAGAACUGCACUCAAUACUCCCAUGCUAGAGGAAUGUAGAGGAGAGUGGAAUUCACGGUGUAGCAGUGAAAUGCGUAGAUAUCGUGAGGAAGACCAGUUGCGAAGGCGACUCUCUGGGCAUUUCCUGACGCUCAUGCACGAAGGCCAGGGGAGCAAACGGGAUUAGAUACCCUUGUAGU
rnacentral:rRNA from 1 species